rnacentral:rRNA from 1 species
UGACGUCAAAUCAUCAUGCCCCUUAUGACCUGGGCUACACACGUGCUACAAUGGCGGUACAAAGGGUCGCGAACCCGCGAGGGGGAGCCAAUCCCAAAAAGCCGCUCUCAGUUCGGAUUGCAGGCUGCAACUCGCCUGCAUGAAGCCGGAAUCGCUAGUAAUCGCGGAUCAGCAUGCCGCGGUGAAUACGUUCCCGGGCCUU